CCUACGGGGUGCAGCAGUGGGGAAUAUUGCACAAUGGGCGAAAGCCUGAUGCAGCAAUGCCGCGUGAAGGAAGAAGGGUUUCGGGUUGUAAACUUCUUUUCUCAGGGACGAAGAAAGUGACGGUACCUGAGGAAUAAGCCACGGCUAACUACGUGCCAGCAGCCGCGGUAAUACGUAGGUGGCAAGCGUUAUCCGGUUUUAUUGGGUGUAAAGGGCGUGUAGGCGGGAGCGCAAGUCAGAUGUGAAAACUCAGGGCUCAACCCUGAGCCUGCAUUUGAAACUGUGUUUCUUGAGUGCUGGGGAGGCAAUCGGAAUUCCGUGUGUAGCGGUGAAAGGCGUAGAUAUACGGAGGAACACCAGUGGCGAAGGCGGAUUGCUGGACAGUAACUGACGCUGAGGCGCGAAAGCGUGGGGAGCAAACAGGAUUAGAUACCCGUGUAGUC
rnacentral:rRNA from 1 species